AUGAAACACUGCGGUGUUAUGCUGCGUUCACUACCGGUCCAGCUGGAAGGUCCAAACCAGACACACCUCAUUUCCGACCUACGUCCGUUUGAGCUUCCAAGUUGGAAAAACAUGGAUGGUCAGUUGGUCACGCAUAACUACAAGAUUAUAAAUGGAUUAGUAUGAUAUAGAUGGAGCAGCAGGUGGAGGUUAGUAAUGAGGUGGAGGGAGGGAGCAGGAUUAGGGUUAGGAGGGAGGGAGGGAGGAGCAGGAGGAGGGUCAGCGGGUGGAGGUUAGGGGGUCAGCGGGUGGAGGUUAGAGGGUCACGGGUGGAGGAGGACCCACCAGUCUGUUGCUCUGAGGGCAGAAGGUGUGUCGCGUGUUGCCGGGGUCCACCACGAUGCUGCACCAGACGCGCGGGCCGAACUGCGUCCCGCAGUGGGCCAGCCGCCAGUGGGACGUGUACGUCCCGUCCAUCACCGGGGCCACGAAGGCCACGCUGACCACGCCCACCUGGCCGGGCUGCAGCGGCGGCACGGGGAGCUCCCGCCGCUCCUCCGACGCCAGGCCCAGGUUCCCCCACAUGAACUUAAGCUGGACACACACACACACACACACACACACA